CCUACGGGAGGCAGCAGUAGGGAAUCUUGCGCAGUGGGCGAAAGCCUGACGCAGCCAUGCCGCGUGAAUGAUGAAGGUCUUAGGAUUGUAAAAUUCUUUCACUGGGGACGAUAAUGACGGUACCCGGAGAAGAAGUCCCGGCUAACUUCGUGCCAGCAGCCGCGGUAAU
rnacentral:rRNA from 1 species